rnacentral:misc_RNA from 1 species
CUAGCUAGUCUCGUCAUGCAUGGCGAUCGAUCGAUCGACCUAGCUAGCUAGCUCUCAUUUUAUUCAGCAUAAACACAGAUAACACAAGAUACAAAGCGUGAGACGACGACAGGUGCAUGUACGGCCUGCGAUGUCACACCCUCCGGCCGGUAGCGAUCGAUCGAUCAGAUUAGUUCACGCUGGAGCAGUCGAUGGAGGGGCUGAUGGUGUAGGGGAUGCUGACGCCGCACUUGGAGGGGAUGCUGGCGGCAUUGCCGGCGUUGAGGCCGCUGAUGCUGCCGGCCACGUUCUUGAGGCAGUUGCAGGCGGUGCGGCGGUCGGCGGUGGUGGUGGCGGCGGAGUUGAGGCUCCUGACGCCGCUGCAGCAGGCCGCCGACGGGCCGGAGCCGCCGCGGGCGUAGCUGAGGCAGGGCGACACGGCGGAGUUGACCUGGCCGCAGCUGAUGGCGGCCAUGGUGGUGUGUGGGCCCGCCAGGAGCAGAGCUGCCACGAGGGCGACCAACACCAGCUGUGCACGGGCCAUCUCGAUCUUGGUCGUGUGUGCUGACGAUCGAUCGACUUUGCUGCUGCUGCUGGUGUGUGGUGCUCGUUUGCUGCUGCAGGUGAG